rfam:Parcubacteria bacterium GW2011_GWB1_45_10 TW89_C0024, whole genome shotgun sequence.
CGGGCCGUGGUUCAGUGGUAGAAUGCGAGUAUGGGGUACUCGUGACGGCAGUUCGAUUCUGCCCGGUCCGA